UUCCUUUGAUGAAGAACUGUGAUGUGGAA
rnacentral:piRNA from 1 species